GUGAGUUGAUGUGGGAGAAAUCUUGAAAAAAAUUAUUGAAAUAGCAUGAAAUUACUGUACUUCUAUUAUUGAUUUGAUUUAUGAAGAAAAAUGAGGUUCUGGAUUAGGGGUCUUCAUUUAUGGAUCCUUUUGUUCUUAGGCCAUUUCCAUCUAUUUAUUUUUUUUUCUUCCAUUUUUCUAUUCUUUAUAUUUAAGCACCCCAUGAUUCUCCAUUCUUUUUUUUUGUGCUCAUUCUUUUUCUCUCUAAUGCCCAUUCUUUUAUACUGUAUGUCCAUGAUUCUCCUUUCUGUCUAUCCCAUCCAGACCCUGUUAUUUCUUUGUCUGUAAAAAUACUUACAUAGAACAAGUGUUUCAUAUUAAUCAUUUAUUAAUGUAUGACUUUAAUGAUGCACAUUACUUUUUUCCCAUCCAGAGAAAUUUUAUAUAGAUAAAAGUUGGUUGUUAGCUUAUAGAAUAUUACUUAUUUAGAUAUAUUUUAAGCAUUAAAAUGAUCGUUGUGAUAAUUUGUUAAUUCAUUAGUUUCUUUUGGACUUGAUUAAUGCUGCUUUCAGAUAAUAUACAAAAAAUUAUCCAACUUAUGUACAUUUUUACAAGGAAUUUCAAUAUACUGACAAGAAUGGACAAAUAGAAAUACUCAAUUUGAGAAUGACAGGAAAGUAAUUGUUACAAAUGUAAAAUUGCCAUUUCGAAUAAUUAAUUUUUCUAGAUUUAAAUUGGACUACAGCAAAAGAUUUACUGCAAUAAAUGUUUAAUAAACGGUAGAGAUUUUUUUAAAAGAUUUGUUGUCAACUUAUUCUCAUUGUCAGGUGACCUAUACAUUCAGUCAUUAAAAAGACAGAACUAAUAGAAUUAAGAGUAGUCCUUACUCUAAAUAUUUUUGGCCGCAUAUAACCAGUGCAAGAAAGUUUUGACAAUUUUAAUCUUUGUCAAGGAAAUCCGUAACAUAUAAAUGCAAUUAAAAAUGAAAUCCUUUUUUAUGUAUACUUUUUCAUUAGAGAUUAUUUACAACUUGUUAGUGAGCUUAUUGUUUUUUGUGACAUAUUGAAAACAUUUUUUUUGUUGUUCCAUCUUAUUUAAGUAUUUGAACCCUACAUUGGUCUAAGAGUUGGUGAAAAUUAACCAUAUAAAUACAAAAGUUUUACUUUGAUAUGAUUCACAUAUUACAAUGCUAACAUAAGGUCUAGAGAUAUUUUUUACCAAAUAUAAAUAACAUAUACACAGUACAUUCUAAAUACUGAUGGAUAAAGCACAUUAAUUAACCAUUUAGAAAAUUCUUAGUAUGUGAACCAUACAUUCACAUUUAAAAUAGUUAUUGAUUCAGUACUGAAAAAAUCACUUCGAACAUUUCUGUAAUGUGAACCAUAUAAGGACAUUCUAAAUACUGAUUCAAUCCAUGAAAUGAAAAUUAACCAUGUAGAAAAUUUGUGUUAUGUAAACCAUACAUGUACAUUCUAUAUACUGAUACAUGAAAUGAAAAUUAACCAUAUAGACAAUUAUUUUUAUGUGAACCAAACAUGUAGAUUCUAAACACUGACACAUGUACUUAAAAUCAACCAAUGUAGAACAUUUCUCAUACAUGAAUUUUUCAUGCUCAUCCUAAAUAUUGAUUAUUGCAGUUACAUGUACUGAAAAUUAACCAUGUAAAAAAUUUGUUUUAUGUGAACCAUUCAUGUACAUUUUUAAAAAUACUCAUUGACAGUACUGAAAAUUAACCAUGUAGUUAUAUAAACCUUUAAUGUACAUGGUAAAUACUAAUUGUCACAAUACUGAAAAUAUGUUAGAAUUAAUGAUAUGGUUUUGAACAUAUGUACUUUUUCAUCAAAUAUGAGAUGGAUUUGACAUAUCAUGCUUGUAUGCCAGUAAGUCAUCUGGUGUCAGUUGUUUAAAAGUUUAUAUAAUGUUUUCACAUUUAUACGUCAAGUGAAUGAAAUUUUUGAACGUCUGAAAUUUCAAUAUAUGUUGAGAAUUUUUUUAAAGCUGGAUGAUUUAAACAUUUAAAUAAAUCUCUUUUUUUACAGGCAUUUUGAAAAAUUUAUCCUUUUUGGAAAUAUUUGCUACACUUUUGAGCAUAGUAUAAAGGUUGGACUUGCAUAAUAGAUUAUACCCAAUGAUAUAAAUUUGAAUCCGAGUUAUUUCCGUUUUUGGCCAUGAGGGAAAGCAAACUGGUUGAUUUUCUUAUUUGACAAUUGGUAACCAAAUUUAAACAAAUAGUAUAAGAAAUUAUGAUAAAAGAACCAUGCUAGAAAGGUUUUUCUUAAAAUUAAGCAGUCAUUCAAAGAAGUUGAAGUUGAUUGAAUUUAGGUAUAAGUUUCCCUACAAUGUCAUGGCAAAGGGAAAUAACUGUGAAAUCCAAUAAGGUCAGCGGAAAUAUAUCUAGUACAAAACAAAUAGUGGUAUAUUACUCUUUGCUUUACACUACCUCAACACAAAUUGGCUAAAUUGUGACCAAAUAAAUGUGCCCUUAGAUUCCAAAAUCAAAAAUCCCAAACUUGAUGAAAUUUUCAAUUUCCUAAGUAAGAUUUCCUUAAGAUGACAUCUUUAGCUAGAAGCUUCCAUGAUUGUAUUUCAUUUAACAUUUAUAUUUACGUGUAAAUAUUAUUAUUUAAUUAGCAAUACCAGAUCUGGAAGAUUUGAUGUCAUUAGUGUUGUAUUUGUUUAUCAUGUCAGUUUUCUGACUUUAAUAAUCUAUUAUUUUUUUUGUUUUCUCAUUUUACUUGCAAUUUUGAUUUAUUAUUUUGAAAUAAAGAUGUUACUGGG
rnacentral:lncRNA from 1 species